rnacentral:rRNA from 2 species
GAUUGUCGAUCGGUGCUUGGCACCUGAUUGAUUUUGGUCGCCAACGAGUGGGCGGACGGGUGAGUAACACGUAGGUAACCUGCCCAGAAGCGGGGGACAACAUUUGGAAACAGAUGCUAAUACCGCAUAACAACGUUGUUCGCAUGAACAACGCUUAAAAGAUGGCUUCUCGCUAUCACUUCUGGAUGGACCUGCGGUGCAUUAGCUUGUUGGUGGGGUAAUGGCCUACCAAGGCGAUGAUGCAUAGCCGAGUUGAGAGACUGAUCGGCCACAAUGGGACUGAGACACGGCCCAUACUCCUACGGGAGGCAGCAGUAGGGAAUCUUCCACAAUGGGCGCAAGCCUGAUGGAGCAACACCGCGUGAGUGAAGAAGGGUUUCGGCUCGUAAAGCUCUGUUGUUAAAGAAGAACACGUAUGAGAGUAACUGUUCAUACGUUGACGGUAUUUAACCAGAAAGUCACGGCUAACUACGUGCCAGCAGCCGCGGUAAUACGUAGGUGGCAAGCGUUAUCCGGAUUUAUUGGGCGUAAAGAGAGUGCAGGCGGUUUUCUAAGUCUGAUGUGAAAGCCUUCGGCUUAACCGGAGAAGUGCAUCGGAAACUGGAUAACUUGAGUGCAGAAGAGGGUAGUGGAACUCCAUGUGUAGCGGUGGAAUGCGUAGAUAUAUGGAAGAACACCAGUGGCGAAGGCGGCUACCUGGUCUGCAACUGACGCUGAGACUCGAAAGCAUGGGUAGCGAACAGGAUUAGAUACCCUGGUAGUCCAUGCCGUAAACGAUGAGUGCUAGUGUUGAGGGUUUCCGCCCUUUCAGUGCCGGAGCUAACGCAUAAGCACUCGCUGGGAGUACGACGCAGUGAACUCGAAGUAUUGACGGGGGCCGCACAAGGCGGUGGAGCA